rnacentral:piRNA from 1 species
UUGUCAUUUCUGAAGCUGUAGCCUGACCC